rnacentral:rRNA from 1 species
UUAAGCGACUAAGCGUACACGGUGGAUGCCCUGGCAGUCAGAGGCGAUGAAGGACGUGCUAAUCUGCGAUAAGCGUCGGUAAGGUGAUAUGAACCGUUAUAACCGGCGAUUUCCGAAUGGGGAAACCCAGUGUGAUUCGUCACACUAUCAUUAACUGAAUCCAUAGGUUAAUGAGGCGAACCGGGGGAACUGAAACAUCUAAGUACCCGAGGAAAAGAAAUCAACCGAGAUUCCCCCAGUAGCGGCGAGCGAACGGGGAGGAGCCCAGAGCCUGAAUCAGUGUGUGUGUUAGUGGAAGCGUCUGGAAAGGCGCGCGAUACAGGGUGACAGCCCCGUACACAAAAAUGCACAUAUUGUGAGCUCGAUGAGUAGGGCGGGACACGUGGUAUCCUGUCUGAAUAUGGGGGGACCAUCCUCCAAGGCUAAAUACUCCUGACUGACCGAUAGUGAACCAGUACCGUGAGGGAAAGGCGAAAAGAACCCCGGCGAGGGGAGUGAAAAAGAACCUGAAACCGUGUACGUACAAGCAGUGGGAGCCUCUUUAUGGGGUGACUGCGUACCUUUUGUAUAAUGGGUCAGCGACUUAUAUUCUGUAGCAAGGUUAACCGAAUAGGGGAGCCGAAGGGAAACCGAGUCUUAACUGGGCGUUAAGUUGCAGGGUAUAGACCCGAAACCCGGUGAUCUAGCCAUGGGCAGGUUGAAGGUUGGGUAACACUAACUGGAGGACCGAACCGACUAAUGUUGAAAAAUUAGCGGAUGACUUGUGGCUGGGGGUGAAAGGCCAAUCAAACCGGGAGAUAGCUGGUUCUCCCCGAAAGCUAUUUAGGUAGCGCCUCGUGAAUUCAUCUCCGGGGGUAGAGCACUGUUUCGGCAAGGGGGUCAUCCCGACUUACCAACCCGAUGCAAACUGCGAAUACCGGAGAAUGUUAUCACGGGAGACACACGGCGGGUGCUAACGUCCGUCGUGAAGAGGGAAACAACCCAGACCGCCAGCUAAGGUCCCAAAGUCAUGGUUAAGUGGGAAACGAUGUGGGAAGGCCCAGACAGCCAGGAUGUUGGCUUAGAAGCAGCCAUCAUUUAAAGAAAGCGUAAUAGCUCACUGGUCGAGUCGGCCUGCGCGGAAGAUGUAACGGGGCUAAACCAUGCACCGAAGCUGCGGCAGCGACACUAAGUGUUGUUGGGUAGGGGAGCGUUCUGUAAGCCUGUGAAGGUGUGCUGUGAGGCAUGCUGGAGGUAUCAGAAGUGCGAAUGCUGACAUAAGUAACGAUAAAGCGGGUGAAAAGCCCGCUCGCCGGAAGACCAAGGGUUCCUGUCCAACGUUAAUCGGGGCAGGGUGAGUCGACCCCUAAGGCGAGGCCGAAAGGCGUAGUCGAUGGGAAACAGGUUAAUAUUCCUGUACUUGGUGUUACUGCGAAGGGGGGACGGAGAAGGCUAUGUUGGCCGGGCGACGGUUGUCCCGGUUUAAGCGUGUAGGCUGGUUUUCCAGGCAAAUCCGGAAAAUCAAGGCUGAGGCGUGAUGACGAGGCACUACGGUGCUGAAGCAACAAAUGCCCUGCUUCCAGGAAAAGCCUCUAAGCAUCAGGUAACAUCAAAUCGUACCCCAAACCGACACAGGUGGUCAGGUAGAGAAUACCAAGGCGCUUGAGAGAACUCGGGUGAAGGAACUAGGCAAAAUGGUGCCGUAACUUCGGGAGAAGGCACGCUGAUAUGUAGGUGAAGCGACUUGCUCGUGGAGCUGAAAUCAGUCGAAGAUACCAGCUGGCUGCAACUGUUUAUUAAAAACACAGCACUGUGCAAACACGAAAGUGGACGUAUACGGUGUGACGCCUGCCCGGUGCCGGAAGGUUAAUUGAUGGGGUUAGCGGUAACGCGAAGCUCUUGAUCGAAGCCCCGGUAAACGGCGGCCGUAACUAUAACGGUCCUAAGGUAGCGAAAUUCCUUGUCGGGUAAGUUCCGACCUGCACGAAUGGCGUAAUGAUGGCCAGGCUGUCUCCACCCGAGACUCAGUGAAAUUGAACUCGCUGUGAAGAUGCAGUGUACCCGCGGCAAGACGGAAAGACCCCGUGAACCUUUACUAUAGCUUGACACUGAACAUUGAGCCUUGAUGUGUAGGAUAGGUGGGAGGCUUUGAAGUGUGGACGCCAGUCUGCAUGGAGCCGACCUUGAAAUACCACCCUUUAAUGUUUGAUGUUCUAACGUUGGCCCCUUAUCGGGGUUGCGGACAGUGUCUGGUGGGUAGUUUGACUGGGGCGGUCUCCUCCUAAAGAGUAACGGAGGAGCACGAAGGUUGGCUAAUCCUGGUCGGACAUCAGGAGGUUAGUGCAAUGGCAUAAGCCAGCUUGACUGCGAGCGUGACGGCGCGAGCAGGUGCGAAAGCAGGUCAUAGUGAUCCGGUGGUUCUGAAUGGAAGGGCCAUCGCUCAACGGAUAAAAGGUACUCCGGGGAUAACAGGCUGAUACCGCCCAAGAGUUCAUAUCGACGGCGGUGUUUGGCACCUCGAUGUCGGCUCAUCACAUCCUGGGGCUGAAGUAGGUCCCAAGGGUAUGGCUGUUCGCCAUUUAAAGUGGUACGCGAGCUGGGUUUAGAACGUCGUGAGACAGUUCGGUCCCUAUCUGCCGUGGGCGCUGGAGAACUGAGGGGGGCUGCUCCUAGUACGAGAGGACCGGAGUGGACGCAUCACUGGUGUUCGGGUUGUCAUGCCAAUGGCACUGCCCGGUAGCUAAAUGCGGAAGAGAUAAGUGCUGAAAGCAUCUAAGCACGAAACUUGCCCCGAGAUGAGUUCUCCCUGACCCUUUAAGGGUCCUGAAGGAACGUUGAAGACGACGACGUUGAUAGGCCGGGUGUGUAAGCGCAGCGAUGCGUUGAGCUAACCGGUACUAAUGAACCGUGAGGCUUAACCUU